UCUCCUGUCCCAGCUAGCAGCAGACACAUUUCGCUUGCACUUUCCAUGGCUACACCACUUCCCUGUGCUGUUACCCAGAGCUGAGCUAAGGAUUGGGCACCUCAUAUCUCUGCUAUUCCUCAUUAUCCUCGUUCUCCAGGGCCAGCUCUGUGCUCAGAGCUGAGCAGCAUUUACAGAGUGACCUUCCCAAGCCCUCUGUAACGCCCGGCUCCUGCAGUGUUCUCCCAGCCACCGUGGUGGUGUGCAGCUGAGCCAGGAGAGCCCUUAGUCUGUCAGCUUUAUCCCAAGGACUGUGAUGAGCUGGAAAAAUAAUUCUAUGCAAACCUGACAGUACUUACACAGCCUUAUAAAAAUUCAAAUUAAAAAAAAUCUGCCAAUAA